UGUGUCAGCCGCCGCGGUAAUACGGAGGAUGCGAGCGUUAUCCGGAUUUAUUGGGUUUAAAGGGUGCGUAGGCGGAUAGAUAAGUCAGUGGUGAAAACCUGCAGCUUAACUGUAGAACUGCCGUUGAUACUGUCAGUCUUGAGUGUGGUCAAGGUAGGCGGAAUGUGUAAUGUAGCGGUGAAAUGCUUAGAUAUUACACAGAACACCGAUUGCGAAGGCAGCUUACUGGACCAUUACUGACGCUGAUGCACGAAAGCGUGGGGAGCGAACAGGAUUAGAUACCCUGGUAGUCCACGCCGUAAACGAUGAUCACUCGCUGUUAGCGAUAUACAGUUAGCGGCUAAGCAAAAGCAUUAAGUGAUCCACCUGGGGAGUACGGCCGCAAGGCUGAAACUCAAAGGAAUUGACGGGGGCCCGCACAAGU
rnacentral:rRNA from 1 species